GGGGCAGUAGCUCAAUGGGAGAGCAUCUCGUUCGCAACGAGAAGGUUGAGGGUUCGAGUCCCUUCUGCUCCA
rnacentral:tRNA from 1 species